rnacentral:lncRNA from 1 species
CACAUGACUGAUUUACUUUGAGGUGAUGUUUAAGUUGUUUGUUUUAUGUCUGUAGGAGCUGUUCCCAGACUGACCUCCUCUGACCUCCUGUGUGUCCACAUCUCCUCUCAUUUACAGACUCCACUCAACUACACUUGGAAGUCGUAUAGUGUGCACGUGUUCUGCAGAAUAAUGCUGAGAGUCGUCCUGUGGGCCGGGCUCGUGGCCUCUGCCGUCACAGAUGACUCUGUGGUUGGAUCUUCUGGAGGGGUCGUAGUUCUGUCAUAUAAACAUCUGUAUUUCCUGUAGAUGACUCUGUGGUUGGAUCUUCUGGAGGAGUCGUAGUUCUGCUGUAUAAACAUCUGUAUUUCCUGUAGAUGACUCUGUGGUUGGAUCUUCUGGAGGGGUCGUAGUUCUGUCAUAUAAACAUCUGUAUUUCCUGUAGAUGACUCUGUGGUUGGAUCUUCUGGAGGAGUCGUAGUUCUGCUGUAUAAACAUGUGUAUUUCCUGUAGAUGACUCUGUGGUUGGAUCUUCUGGAGGAGUUGUAGUUCUGCUGUAUAAACAUGUGUAUUUCCUGUAGAUGACUCUGUGGUUGGAUCUUCUGGAGGGGUGGUAGAUCUUCCGUGCCUCCUGCCCGACCACAUGGAGCUGUCCAUGUUGGAGUGGCUCAGACCGGACCUGGGGCCUGACGGAUACCUGCUGUUUUACCGCGAGCGCAGAGAGUACCCUCAUUACCAGCACCCGAGCUUCUCCCAGCGGGUGCUCCUCGUCAGCCCGGGCCUGGAGGGGGGAAAGCUCAGCGUCACACUGCACAACCUGACGCUGAAGGACUCCGGGACCUACCGCUGUGUGGUCAGGACGUCCGACAGAAGAACCAUCUCCUCCAGCGUCCGCCUGGAGGUGAUGGAGACGCCUCGAGCACCAGAGAAACUGGUGGUUGGGGCUCAGGAGAAACCGUCUGGAGAGCGGCCGGCUGCAGACAGCAUCCUGCCGGAGCCACUGGCCAGUGCCGUGCGUGGGGCGGGUCCGGAGGAGACACCGGGCCCCGGGGUCGACAGACGCCACGCUGCAGCCUGGACAGGGGGGCGCUGUUCGGGACGGCCUCUGUGGCUCUGGCUGUGCUCAUGA